rnacentral:lncRNA from 1 species
CCUCACGAACUGAAGUCUGAAGCCAAUUUGCUUGGUCUGAACUCUGAAGUCUGAUGUCUGAACAGUUGCUCAACUGCACUGGUUACCACAACACAGCAAAGAGCACCUGUAAAAUCAAAGACCCAAAAUUAAACAAUGGUUGAUGUGGGGAUUGGAUACAUGUGUAACAGGGAAGACGCUAAUGGCACCCAUUGUUGGAAAUAUGCCCUAGAGGCAAUAAUAAAUUAGUUAUUAUUAUUAUAUUUCCUUGUUCAUGAUAAUCAUUUAUUAUCCAUGCUAGAAUUGUAUUGAUAGGAAACUCAGAUACAUGUGUGGAUACAUAGACAACACCAUGUCCCUAGUAAGCCUCUAGUUGACUAGCUCAUUGAUCAAUAGAUGGUUACGGUUUCCUGACCAUGGACAUUGGAUGUCGUUGAUAAUGGGAUCACAUCAUUAGGAGAAUGAUGUGAUGGACAAGACCCAAUCCUAAGCCUAGCACAAAGAUCGUGUAGUUCAUAUGCUAAAGCUUUUCUAAUGUCAAGUAUCAUUUCCUUAUACCAUGAGAUUGUGCAACUCCCGGAUACCGUAGGAAUGCUUUGGGUGUACCAAACGUCACAACGUAACUGGGUGGCUAUAAAGGUGCACUACGGGUAUCUCCGAAAGUGUCUGUUGGGAUGGCACGAAUCAAGACUGGGAUUUGUCACUCCGUGUGACGGAGAGGUAUCUCUGGGCCCACUCGGUAGGACAUCGUCAUAAUGUGCACAAUGUGACCAAGGAGCUGAUCACGGGAUGAUGUGUUACGGAACGAGUAAAGAGACUUGCUGGUAACGAGAUUGAACAAGGUAUUGGCAUACCGACGAUCGAAUCUCGGGCAAGUACAAUACCGCUAGACAAAGGGAAUUGAAUACGGGAUUGAUUGAAUCCUCGACAUCGUGGUUCAUACAAUGAGAUCAUCGUGGAAGAUGUGGGAGCCAACAUGGGUAUCCAGAUCCCGCUGUUGGUUAUUGGCCGGAGAGUUGUCUCGGUCAUGUCUGCAUGGUUCCCGAACCCGUAGGGUCUACACACUUAAGGUUCGAUGACGCUAGGGUUAUAAAGGAAGUUUGUAUGUGGUUACCGAAUGUUGUUCGGAGUCCCGGAUGAGAUCUCGGACGUCACGAGGAGUUCCGGAACGGUCCGGAGGUAAAGAUUUAUAUAUGGGAAGUCAUCAUACGGUCACCGGAAUAAUUCGAGGGUUACCGGUAUUGUACGGGGACCACCGAAGGGGUUCCGGGGGUCCACCGGGAGGGUCCACCUGCCCCGGAGGGCCCUAUGGGCUAUUUGUGGAGAGGGACCAGCCCCUUAGUGGGCUGGGCGCCUUCCCCCUUAGGGCCCAUGCGCCUAGGGUUUGGGGGGAAACCCUAAAGGGGGGCACCCUUGCCUUGGGGGGCAAGGCAACCCCCCUGGCCGCCGCCCCCUCCUCAGAUUGGAUCUGAGGGGGCCGGCCCCCCCUCUCCCUUGCCCCUAUAUAUAUGUGGGGGUGGGAGGGCAGCCGCACCCAAGUUCUGGCGCAGCCCUCUCCCUCUCCCAAGUCCUCCUCCUCCCCGCGGUGCUUGGCGAAGCCCUGCAGGAUUGCCACGCUCCUCCACCACCACCACACUGUUGUGCUGCUGCUGGACGAAGUCUUCCCCAACCUCUCCCUCCCUCCUUGCUGGAUCAAGGCGUGGGAGACGUCACCGGGCUGUACGUGUGUUGAGCGCGGAGGUGCCGUCCGUUCAGCACUAGGAUCUCCGGUGAUUUGGAUCACGACGAGUACGACUCCUUCAACCCCGUUCUCUUGAACGCUUCCGCUUAGCGAUCUACAAGGGUAUGUAGAUUCACUCUCCUUCCCCUCGUUGCUAGAUUACUCCAUAGAUUGAUCUUGGUGAUGCGUAGAAAAUUUUAAAUUUCUGCUACGAUCCCCUACAGUGGCAUCAUGAUCUAGGUCUAUGCGUAGUUUCUAUGCACGAGUAGAACACAAGUUGUUGUGGGCGUCGAUUUUGUCAAUUUACUUGCCGUUACUAGUCUUAUCUUGAUUUGGCGGCAUCGUGGGAUGAAGCGGCCCGGACCGACCUUACACGUACUCUUACGUGAGACAGGUUCCACCGACUGACAUGCACUAGUUGCAUAGGGUGGCUAGCGGGUGUCUGUCUCUCCCACUUUAGUCGGAUCGGAUUCGAUGAAAAGGGUCCUUAUGAAGGGUAAAUAGUAAUUGGCGUAUCAUGUUGUGGUUUUUGCGUAGGUAAGAAAUGUUCUUGCUAGAAACCCAUAGCAGCCACGUAAAACAUGCAAACAACAAUUAGAGGACGUCUAACUUGUUUUUGCGGGAUAUGCUAUGUGAUGUGAUAUGGCCAAAAGAAUGUGAUGAAUGAUAUGUGAUGUAUGAGAUUGAUCAUGUUCUUGUAAUAGGAAUCACGACUUGCAUGUCGAUGAGUAUGACAACCGGCAGGAGCCAUAGGAGUUGUCUUAAUUUAUUGUAUGACCUGCGUGUCGUUGAACAACGCCAUGUAAUUACUUUACUUUAUUGCUAAACCAUUAGCUAUAGUAGUAGAAGUAAUUAGUUGGCGAGACAACUUCAUGGAGACACGAUGAUGGAGAUCAUGAUGAUGGAGAUCAUGGUGUCAUGCCGGUGAUGAUGAUGAUCAUGGAGCCCCGAAGAUGGAGAUCAAAAGGAGCAAAAUGAUAUUGGCCAUAUCAUGUCACUAUUUGAUUGCAUGUGAUGUUUAUCAUGUUUAUGCAUCUUAUUUGCUUAGAACGACGGUAGUAAAUAAGAUGAUCCCUCAUUAAAAUUUCAAGAAAGUGUUCCCCCUAACUGUGCACCGUUGCGAAAGUUCGUCGUUUCGAAGCACCACGUGAUGAUCGGGUGUGAUAGAUUCUAAUGUUCACAUACAAUGGGUGUAAGCCAGAUUUACACACGCGAAACACUUAGGUUGACUUGACGAGCCUAUCAUGUACAGACAUGGCCUCGGAACACAAGAGACCGAAAGGUUGAGCAUGAGUCGUAUAGUAGAUACGAUCAACAUGAAGAUGUUCACCGAUGAUGACUAGUCCGUCUCACGUGAUGAUCGGACACGGCCUAGUUGACUCGGAUCAUGUGAUCACUUAGAUGACUGGAGGGAUGUCUAUCUGAGUGGGAGUUCAUAAGAUGAACUUAAUUAUCCUGAACAUAGCCAAAAAGUUUUUUGCAAAUCAUGUCGUAGCUCGCGCUUUAGUUCUACUGUUUUAGAUAUGUUCCUAGAGAAAAUAUAGUUGAAAGUAGAUAUUAGCAAUUAUGCGGACUGGGUCCGUAAACUGAGGAUUGUCCUCAUUGCUUUGAAGAAGGCUUAUGGCCUUAAUGCACUGCUCGGUGUGCUGAACCUCAAAUGUCGUCUCUGGAUGUUGCGAACAUCUGACAUGCACGUUGUGAUAACUACGUGAUAGUUCAGUUAGACGGUUUAGAAUUGAGGCACAAAGACGAUUUCGGAUGGUCGCGGAACAUAUGAGAUGUUUCGAGGGCUGAAAUUAGGAUUUCAGGCUCGUGCCCACGUCAAGAGGUAUAAGACCUCCGACGAGUUUCUUAGCAUGCAAACUAAGGGAGAAAAGCUCAAUCGUUGAGCUUGUGCUCAGAUUGUCUGAGUACAACAAUCACUUGAAUCGAGUGGGAGUUGAUCUUCCAGAUGAGAUAGUGAUGUUUCUCCAAAGUCAUUGCCACCAAGCUACUAGAGCUUCGUGAUGAACUAUAACAGAUCAGGGAUAGAUAUGAUGAUCCUUGAGAUAUUCGCGAUGUUUGACACCGCGAAAGUAGAAAUCAAGAAGGAGCAUCAAUUGUUGAUGGUUGGUGAAACCACUAGUUUCAAGAAGGGCAAGGGCAAGAAGGGAUACUUAACGAAAUGACAAAUCCGCUGCUGCUCUAGUGAAGAAACCCAAGGUUGAACCCAAACCCGAGACUAAGUGCUUCUGUAAUAAGGGGAAUAGCCACUGGAGCAGAAUUACCCUAGAUACUUGGUAGAUGAGAAGGCUGGCAAGGUCGAUAGAAGUAUAUUGGAUAUGCAUUAUGUUAAUGUGUACUUUACUAGUACUCCUAGUAGCACCAGGGUAUUAGAUACCGGUUCGGUUGCUAAGUGUUAGUAGCCCGAAAUAAAAGCUACGGAAUAAACGGAGACUAGCUAAAGGUGAGCUGACGAUAUGUGUUGGAAGCGUUUCCAAGGUUGAUGUGAUCAAGCAUCACACGCUCCCUCUACCAUCGAGAUUGGUGUUAAACCUAAAUAAUUGAUAUUUGGUGUUUGCGUUGAGCAUAGACAUGAUUGGAUUAUGUCUAUCGCAAUACGGUUAUUCAUUUAAGGAGAAUAAUGGUUACUCUAUUUAUUUGAAUGAUACCUUUAAUGGUCUUGCACCUAAAAGAAUGGUUUACUGAAUCUCGAUCGUAGUGAUACACAUUUUCAUGCCAAAAGAUAUAAGAUAGUAAUGAUAGUAGUACCACUUACUUGUGGCACUGCCAUGUAAGUCAUAUUGGUAUAAAACGCAUGAAGAAGCUCCAUGUUGAUGGAUCUUUGGACUCACUCGUUUUGAAAUGUUUGAGACAUGCGAACCAUGUCUAUUGGUGUAUAUGCAUGAAGAAACUCCAUGCAAAUGGACCAUUUGGACUCACUUGAUUUUGAAUCACUUGAGACAUGCAAAUCAUACCACAUGGGCAAGAUGACUGAAAGCCUCGUUUUCAGUUAAAUGGAACAAGAAAGCAAUUUGUUGGAAGUAAUACAUUUUGAUGUGUGCAGUGCAAUGAGUGCUGAGGCACACAGUGGAUAUCGUUAUGUUCUUACUUCACGGAUGAUUUGAGUAGAUACUGAGUGUAUUUACUUGAUGAAACACAAGUCUGAAUUAUUGAAAGGUUCAAGUAAUUUCAGAGUGAAGUUGAAGAUCGUCGUGACAAGAGGAUAAAAUGUCUAUGAUAUGAUCAUAGAGAUGAGUAUCCGAGUUAUGAGUUUGGUAUGAAAUUAAGACAUUGUGAAAAUUGUUUCACAACUAAUACCGCCUGGAACACCAUAGUGUGAUGGUGUGUCCGAACAUCAUAGAUGCACCCUAUUGGAUAUGGUGCAUACCAGGAUGUCUCUUAUCAAAUUACCACUAUCGUUCAUGGGUUAGGCAUUAGAGACAACCACAUUCACUUUAAAUAGGGCACCACGUAAUUCCGUUGAAAUGACACCGUAUGAACUAUGGUUUAGAGAAACCUAAGCUGUCGUUUCUUGAAAGUUUGGGGCUGCGAUGCUUACAUGAAAAAGGUUUCAGCCUGAUAAGCUCGAACCCAAAGCGGACAAAUACAUAUUCAUAGGACACCUAAAAAUAGUUGGGUAUACCUCCUAUUUCAGAUCCGGAAGCGAAAGAUUGUUUCUAGAAACGGGUCCUUUCUCGAGGAAAAGUUUCUCUCGAGAGAAUUGAGUGGGAGGAUGGUGAAGACUUGAUAAGGUUAUUGAACCAUCACUUCAACUAGUGUGUAGCAGGGCACAGGAAGUUGUUCCUGUGGCACCUACACCAAUUGAAGUGGAAGUUGAUGAUAAUGAUCAUGAAACUUCGGCUCAAGUCACUACCAAACCUCGUAGGACGACAAGGACAAGUACUGCUUCAGAGUGGUACGUAAUCCUAUCUUGGAAGUCAUGUUGCUAGACAACAAUGAACCUACGAGCUAUGGAGAAGCGAUGGUGGGCCCGGAUUCCGACGAAUGGCUCGAGGCCAUAAAAUCCGAGAGAGGAUCCAUGUAUGAAAACAAAGUAUGGACUUUGGAAGAAAUACUUGAUGGUCGUAAGGCUGUUGGGUACAGAUGGAUUUUGAAAGGAAGAUGGACGAUGAUGGUAAGUGUCACCAUUAAGAAAGCUCGACUUGUCGUUAAGAUGUUUUCCGACAAGUUCAAGGAGUUGACUACGAUGAGACUUUCUCACUCGUAGCGAUGCUAAGAGUCUGUUGAAAUUAUAUUAGCAGUUACUGCAUAAUUUAUGAAAUCUUGCAGAUAGGAUGUCAAAACAUUGUUUCCUCGACGAGGAAAGGUUGUAUGUGAUACAACCAGAAGGUUCUGUCAAUCCUGAAAGAUGCUAACAAGUAUGCAAAGCUCUAGCAAUCCUUCUAAGGACUGGAGUAAGCAUCUCGGAGUUGGAAUAUACGCUUUGAUGAGAUGAUCAAAGAUUUUGGGUUUAUACAAAGUUUAUGAGAAACUUGUAUUUCCAAAGAAGUGAGUGGGAGCACUAUAGCAUUUCUGAUGAGUAUAUGUUGUUGACAUAUUGUUGAUCGGAAAUGAUGUAGAAUUUCUGGAAAGCAUAUAGGGUUAUUUGAAAGGUGUUUUUCAAUAGAAAACCUGGAUUAAGCUAUUUGAACAUUGAGCAUCAAGAUCUAUGAGGAUAGAUCAAAACGCUUAAUAGUACUUUCAAAUGAGCACAUACCUUGACAUGAUCUUGAAGGUGUUCAAGAUGGAUCAGUCUAAGAAGGAGUUCUUGCCUGAGUUGUAAGGUAUGAAGUUAAGACUUCAUACCUGGAUUAAGCUAUUUGAACAUUGAGCAUCAAGAUCUAUGAGGAUAGAUCAAAACGCUUAAUAGUACUUUCAAAUGAGCACAUACCUUGACAUGAUCUUGAAGGUGUUCAAGAUGGAUCAGUCAAAGAAGGAGUUCUUGCCUGAGUUGUAAGGUAUGAAGUUAAGACUUAAAGCUCGACCACGGCAGAAGAAAGAGAAAGGAUGAAUGUCGUCCCCUAUGCCUUAGCCAUAGGCUCUAUAGAGUAUGUCAUGCUUUGUACUGCACCUGAUGUGUGCCUUCCCACAUGUCUGGCAAGAGGGUACAAAGGUGACUCGGGAGUGGGUCACUAGAUAGCGGUCAAAAAUUAUCCUUAGAGGAAUAAGGAAAUGUUUCUCGGUUAUGGAGGUGAUAAAGAGUUUGACGUAAAGAGUUACGUCGAUGCAAGCUUAACACCUAUCCGGAUAGCUCUGAGUAGAGAUACCGGAUACGUAUAAUGGAGCAAUAAUUUGGAAUAGCUCCAAGUGGAACGUGGUAGCGGCAUCUACGAUAUGACAUAAAGUUUUGCGAAAUACAUAGGGAUCUGAAUAUUGCAGACCCAUUGACUACAACCUCUCUCACAAGCAUAAAUGAUCAAACCCAGAACUCAUUGAGUGUUAAUCACAUAGUGAUGUGAACUAGAUUAUUGAUUCUAGUAAACUCUUUGGAUGUUGGUCACAUGGCGAUGUGACCUGUGAGUGUUAAUCACAUGGCGAUCUGAACUAGAUUAUUGACUCUAGUGCAAGUGGGAGACUGUUGGAAAUAUGCCCUAGAGGCAAUUAUAAAUUAGUUAUUAUUAUUAUAUUUCCUUGUUCAUGAUAAUCGUUUAUUAUCCAUGCUAGAAUUGUAUGGAUAGGAAACUCAAAUACAUGUGUGGAUACAUAGACAACACCAUGUCCCUAGUAAGCCUCUAGUUGACUAGCUCGUUGAUCAAUAGAUAGUUACGGUUUCCUGACCAUGGACAUUGGAUGUUGUUGAUAACGGGAUCACAUCAUUAGGAGAAUGAUGUGAUGGACAAGACCCAAUCCUAAGCCUAGCACAAAGAUCGUGUCAAGUAUCAUUUCCUUAGACCAUGAGAUUGUGCAACUCCCGGAUACCGUAGGAAUGCUUUGGGUGUACCAAACGUCACAACGUAACUGGGUGGCUACAAAGGUGCACUACGGGUAUCUCCUAAAGUGUCUGUUGGGUUGACACGAAUCAAGACUGGGAUUUGUCACUCCGUGUGACGGAGAGGUAUCUUUGGGCCCACUCGGUAGGACAUCAUCAUAAUGUGCACAAUGUGACCAAGGAGUUGAUCACGGGAUGAUGUGUUACGGAAUGAGUAAAGAGACUUGCCGGUAACGAGAUUGAACAAGGUAUCGGCAUACCGACGAUCGAAUCUCGGGCAAGUACAAUACCGCUAGACAAAGGGAAUUGAAUACGGGAUUGAUCGAAUCCUCGACAUCAUGGUUCAUCCGAUGAGAUCAUCGUGGAACAUGUGGGAGCCAACAUGGGUAUCCAGAUCCCGCUGUUGGUUAUGGGCCAGAGAGUUGCCUCGGUCAUGUCUGCAUGGUUACCGAACCCGUAGGGUCUACACACUUCAGGUUCGAUGACGCUAGCGUUAUAAAGGAAGUUUGUAUGUGGUUACCGAAUGUUGUUCGGAGUCCCGGAUGAGAUCUCGGACGUCACGAGGAGUUCCGGAACGGUCCGGAGGUAAAGAUUUAUAUAUGGGAAGUCAUCAUACGGUCACCGGAAUAAUUCGGGGGUUACCGGUAUUGUACCGGGACCACCGAAGGGGUUCCGGGGGUCCACCGGGAGGGUCCACCUGCCCCGGAGGGCCCUAUGGGCUGUUUGUGGAGAGGGACCAGCCCUUAGUGGGCUGGGCGCCUUCCCCCUUAGGGCCCAUGCGCCUAGGGUUUGGGGGGAAACCCUAAAGGGGGGCGCCCCCUUGCCUUGGGGGGCAAGGCAACCCCCCUGGCCGCCGCCCCCUCCUCAGAUUGGAUCUGAGGGGGCUGGCCCCCCCUCUCCCUUGCCCCUAUAUAUAUGUGGGGGGUGGGAGGGAAGCCGCACCCAAGUUCUGGCGCAGCCCUCCCCCUCUCCCAAGUCCUCCUCCUCCUCUCCCGCGGUGCUUGGCGAAGCCUUGCAGGAUUGCCACGCUCCUCCACCACCACCACACCGUUGUGCUGCUGCUGGACAGAGUCUUCCGCAACCUCUCCCUCUCUCCUUACUGGAUCAAGGCAUGGGAGACGUCACCGGGCUGUACGUGUGUUGAACACGGAGGUGCCGUCGGUUCGGCACUAGGAUCUCCAGUGAUUUGGAUCACGACGAGUACGACUCCUUCAACCCCGUUCUCUUGAAGGCUUCCGCUUAGCGAUCUACAAGGGUAUGUAGAUUCACUCUCCUUCCCCUCGUUGCUAGAUUACUCCAUAGAUUGAUCUUGGUGAUGCGUAGAAAAUUUUAAAUUUCUGCUACGAUCCCCUACAGUGGCAUCAUGGUUGAUGUGGGGAUUGGAUACAUGUGUAACAGAGAAGAUGCUAAUGGCACCCACUGCACCAACCCUGUGACAAUUGGCAGGCUCAGGGAGCCGAUUGCCGGCGAGCGGAGCAGAAAAUUUGUCGGACUUUCAGUAGGAAGGGAGGGGAAGGUAACGGUGGAGCCAAGCAGGUAAAUACCUCACGAACUGAAGUAUGAAGCCAAUUUUCUUGGUCUUAACACUAAAGUCUGAAGUCUGAAUAGUUGCUCAACUUCACUGUUUACCACAGCACAACAAAGAGCACCUGUAAAAUCAAAAGAGCCAAAAUUAAACCACUGUUGACAGGGAUGUGAGGAUAGGAUACUUGUGGAAUAGAGAAGACGCUAAUGGUAUCCACUGCACCGACCCUGUGGCAACCGGCAGGCCCGGAGAGCCGGCAAAAUUUGCCGGACUUCGAGUAGGAGGGGAGGGGAAGGUAACUGUUGAGCCAAGCAGGAAAUACCUCAAUAACUGUAAGAAUCCACGGACCAGUGGAUAUGUACGCGCGAGCAGUCCUGCCGACGGCGAUAACCGCGUGGCACUGACGGCACGGGCGACAAGACAAGGCACGAAGCAGCCGGGAAACCCCAGGCGGCCAAUCGCCGGAAGAAGAGUGCCAAUAAUAGUAAAGCGUGACGACGACGGGUGCCAUUGACAGCGCGGGCUCGAGCGGCCACCAAGAAUCAAGAAAUCAGGGCCACUCAUCGACGGAGAUAUUAUGCUACAGGAAUCUGCGCACAGCUAGGAGCCGAUGACUCAGGAGGCCGGAGACAUGACGAGCACGGAGUUGUGGGUGAGCGACCCCGUCGGCGGCACGGUGAGCGACACCGUCGACGAACUAGUUGCGGUGCUCGCGCAAAGAUAGUCGACAGAGAACGAGAAUGCAGUGCUCGCGCCAUGGUAUCGUCAGUGCAGUGGACGACAGAGGAGGCCGAGAUGAUCGACGCUGGAAAUGACUCCAGUGUAGUAGGGCAAGAGAGAGGAGACCAAAAUGAUCGACCCCGUCGGCGGCGCGGCGAACUGCAGUGUGCGCCCCAUUGCAACGUCAGUGUAGUAGGAGGACGACAGAGAGUAGGCCGAGAUGAGCGACGUCGGAAAUGAGUCUAGUGUAGUAGGACAUGGGCAAGGAGAUCAAGAGGAAGGGCUUCGGUGCCGAGAGGGACGAAUAGGAGGGCUCUGAGCAAAGAACAGAAGAGCUCGACAUGGCGGCGUCAGUGCAGUAGAUUGUUGUUCAAGGAGAGCUGAAGCUACGAUCGUCGAAACUAAAAACUUACAACACAAAUGUUGUGCGGAACUGCGAGAUUAGGCUGCUAGUCAAAAGAAAUUUCAAACGAUCGGUCGUGCGCGAUGAAUCUGACAAAAUUCAUCCAGAAUAGCUCCAAACAGGAGCACGAAAUAAAGAACUUCUAGCCGACAAAACUAUGGUCAGAUCGCCUGAAUGGUACCGCAGGAUCGAGGUGCAUCUUUUUCGUGUAGGGCUUACCUGGAAUCGAAGCCUCGUUGUGUAGAUCAAAGGGACAAGGAAGAGAGCAGAUUAGAGAGAAGAUUACUGGAGGUUGAAGAAGACCUCAUGUAAUCACCUCGCAUUCCUCUCGUCUCCACUCGUGCAAGGGCCUGCUCGCUUGCGCUCGCCUCAGCCUGGCUCGCGAGAAACCGCUGGUUCAAGCGUUUCCAGCGAGCCAGCCUGUGGGCUGCUUUAAGAAGCGUGCGAUGCAGGCCCAGCAAUGUAUACAUGCAACUAAACAGGCCGGAUUCUUCUCGCGCGGGCCUGGUUGGGCCUCAUGCAGGCAACCAAACACGCCCUAAGUGUAUUCUCUACACAAUCGCACCUCAUUCAUGAUAAGUAGGUGUAGAAUUAUUCCAUUCAUAAACAUACAGUGUGGUUCAGUUAUCCAACACUCCUACAUUUAGAGUACUAGUCAAUGUGUAUGUGCAAUGCACGUUAAUUUGAAAAUAUAUGAAAUGCAUGCGGAUAUUAAGCAGGAUAUUAUUUGCGUGUGUAUUAAUGUGAUUAGCACUAUAUUUGGCAUGAAAUUAACUGCACGCUAAACGUGUUGAGCGCUCAACAUUGAAAUAAUCUAGGUCAUUGGGUUGACAUGAUUUGAUGGCCAAGAUUAAUUGGAUCUGCCCCUUUUUGUCUUUUUAUAUUGGUAUAGAUAGAUCUGAGGUGUCGGUCAACCGAUCUAUGCCACUGUUCGGUCGCCUCCCCGCAGGAGGAUGCCUCCGUGUGGGCCGUUGGUUCCCGCUUCAUCCCCUUGCCGAUUCUAUUUUUCUCCCUGACGACCCUUGCCAAUUUAGUAGCCAUAGGGAUAAAGAAGGGAGGGCCCUCUCUUCUUGUCGAAUCCCUAAAACAUUACAGGCAUGGUGGAGGAGGAGUGGAGAGGUGGCGAGUUCGGCGAAGAGCGCGUCAGACGCCGGCUACUCCUGUCGGAGGAACGCCCGAUUGGCCUCCACGUAGGCCUCUAUCUCCGCAUUGAGUUCGGCGAAGAGCGCGUUAGACGCUGCCUGCUCCUGCUGGAAAAACGCCCGGUUGGCUUCCACAUAGGCCUCAUCCUGGAUGGACUCCAGGAUGGCUUGCUACUCCGCCAUCUCGUCCGAUUGGGUGAUGGCAAACUCUGACUCCGACUGCUCCAUGUUGAAGCCUGACAGCACCUACUCCGGCAACUCCAGCUCCGGCUGCUCCGCAUCAUCCGCCUCCAUCGGAGCCAACUCCUCUCCCUUCUCUUCCCCCAGCUCUUCCUAUCCCUCAUCUGGCUCCAGCGAGUCCGGAGGCUGCCUGGCAGUGAUGCGGGCGGCGUGCGCGACUUGUCUCGCCCGAAUCUCCUGCUGGAUCUCAUACCGGCGCUCCGGCUUGAGCAUUGCGUAGUAGGUGAUCAUCCUCCGGACCAUGGCGGAGCUCCGAAGCGUGGGCAGAGCGCCAGAGCGAAAGAGGGAGGAGGUGGAUGGGCUCGGACUAGUGGUGCGGAGAUGGGGGAGGUGGAUGGACUAGGGUCACGACGCCAGUCGGCUCAAAUUGGCGGAGUUGGUCUCGGGCGGCGAGCUGGAGCGGCGCCACGCGGCGUUCACACCGCAGCAAUGGACGCGACGUCCGUCAGGCCGUCGGGUUUCCGGUUGUUGCCGUGUGGGACCCCGCCAUCAGACCGACGCGGAGGGCGUGCCCGGACACUCCCAUAUCCGCCUCAUAUUUAGGCUGGAUAUGAGAGGUGCCGGUCAGCCCGGACGUUUGAGGCUCGUUUGAGGGGGUCUGGGUCGAAUAAUCGUAACUGGUCGACGUAUGAGACCGGUUUGGGACGCCUGGCUGUAGAUGCUCUUAUAUCGCAUCAUUGGCUCUUAUUUUCUUGGAGGAUGCGCUGGCUCUUUUUUUGUUGCGGGAAAGGGUUUUUUUGGAAACAAGGCAAAAGAUUUGCCAUUUUCAUUGAUUAAGCAUAAAAGAGUUGUACGGUUAAUUAAUGGGAACCCGGGAGAAAACCGUCACAAUACGCCCAUCAAAAGGGCACACCGGCCGAUCUGGCACCCACAAGACCACACACACCGUCGAGGAGGGGACACCGUCGAGGUUGAGUGCAAUGUGAUCGUCGUCACCUCUCCCCAAGCAGGCGACUCCGACUUCGCCGCUGACGACUCGUCAAGACCCCUCCGAACGAACGACACCCGAGGACCUCAUCGGCCAAAGCCAAACAAUCGGCCGAGACAUCGAAGACCGGCAGCUCCGAUUUUGUUAAUGUGCUUCAGGGAGAAAGUUGCAAGCCUCGCACCGACCUAGUCCAACGCAGUCUCCGGAGAGCACCGUCCGCUGAAUCCGCCCUCAUGGAGUCAUCGUUGCCGCAGGGGCCCUACCACGUGCAGCUCCGAUUUCUUUGUCACGGCGAGAAGCAAACAUAGUCACACCCAUUGGCGCACCGGACCGCCGACAUCAAAAGGAUCAGCCGUGACCCAGCUCCACGCGCCACCAUCGUCGUUACCGCACAAGUGGCAACGCCAACACCUCGCAUCACCGGUUGGGCACCAGCCAACCUUGAUGUCGUGCACGUCCAGCCCAUGGAAAGCGCGGAGGAGAACAAGUCUUCAAGACGACGCCCCCAAGGGGGGAAGCAAUGCGGAAACGACGCCGUCACCCGACAUGGUCAUAGGCUUUCGCCCGAAGACGAACCCCGAAGGUGGACAAGGUCAGAGAGCUCCACGACGACCCUUCAGGAAGGAAGAACGACGCCCAUAGGCGCCGCGUCGUUGGCCUCGACAGAAGCCACGCAGGCAAACACCCGGAGCACUGGCCUCCACACCCCCACGCAACCAGCCACCAGCAGGGAGCCUGCAGCUAAUCCGCAGAUCCGCUGAACCGCACACCCCGGCGCCGUGGCGGUGCCACCACCAUGCCGGAGCCAUCCACCUCGCCGUCGGAAGGCGCCGAUGAGCCAAACCCGGCCAGGACGACCAGAUCCGGCGGCCCCCAGUUGCAGCAUCGUCGCAGAGGCCACCCGAGGACGCAUGGGAGGAGACACCAAAGUUAUAGUAUGUUUUUUUUGCGUAAGCUAUUGGGAGUUUAAGGAACUAUUGGGAGUAGCUAAGUUAUAGUAUGGGGCGUUCUGGUCCGCUCGUGAUGCAUGACCUUCGGUCGGCCUGGAUCUCCGGCGUGCACGCGCCUGCUGAUGUUGUGGCUGGUUCGGAGGUGGCGGCAGGGUGCAUGGCCGGGAGAAACCCUUGGCCGCCGGUGGCGGUCACGGCGUCGAUGGCGUCCCGGACGCCAUUCCCUCCUUGGUGGCGGUGCAAGGCUCAACCUCCUCUACCUCCCCCCUUCCCCUGCGCCCGGGUGAAAACCCUAGCCCCGGUGGCUAAGCGGCGGCGGCACCACAGCAUCGUCACCUUCUUGAAGGCGCCGACUUGGGCAUGGGCAUGCUGGGCGUGCAUGGUGAGCUUGUCUGGUUCCUGGUGGCGGCCCGUCCUCUUCCGGCCAUGUCUCCGAUGGGGACCUCGCCCUUCCUCACCUUGUACAUGCCGUGGUGGAGCGGUACCUCAUCUCACUCAUUGAUGGCAGCGGAAAUUGGCGGCAUGGCGCUGUGGAGGCUCGGCGUCCGAUGCGCAGAGAUGGACUCGCGCAGGAGGAGGUAGCUGUCUGGCGUCAUGGUGACGUCGAUGGCAGAGUGGCCAGACAAGGUAGAAGACUAAAUAUAAUCUGAAGACGGACCUGUGGAAGAUGGCUGCGACGACACAAGAGUGCGUCUGACCGGAUUGUGCCCCAGACCCGGUAUGUGGCUCGGCUGGGACUUCCGGCUUUUGAUGUUAGGUUUAGGUGAGUGGUUUGGGUAGUGGCCCAGCUAGCAUCCCUUCAUCAUAUGGAUAGGAGUAGCGGCAUAUGUUGCCAAGAUGGUGGAUUCAGGUAUAUUGUUCGUAAUACUUUGUAAGGUCCUCGAGAAUAGUUAAUAAAGUGGCCGUAUGCAUCUCCCAAAUGCAGAGGCCGGGGGUCAUCCUCCUUUUCAAAAAAAAAAAUUAUAGUAUGUUUUCAUUCACCUGAUGUCGUUACUAUUAGAGUGCGCCUGUAUUGGGUUGUCAGAUUGUAAGUAGUUCACAAGUUGUUGGGUGUUAAAAAAAUAGUGGGUCAUAAAAAAUUGGCUAGAGAAAGCGCACGCAUGGGAUCUCGAACUCGCGAUCAAUAACUUCUGAUCGGACUGUGUGUUGCAAGCCACUACAGCUGACUGGUGUUACUAAUUAAUAAUCACCCCCAAACUUUAAAGAAUUAUAUACCGUGACAGAUUUCUUUUUUGCAUUUUUUUACUUUUUUAAAACUUGCAACAUCUGUUGAAAUUCCCUGAACAUUUUUAUAUUUACAAAUAAUAUUUGGUAAGAUGAACAUAUUUUAACUUUGUGGAAAUUUUGAAAAAAGCUGAUCUAUUUAAAAUUUUCAUUUUUUGAAAUUGUAAACAAAAUGAAAAAAAUGAACACCAUUUGAAAGAUUUUAUUUUAAUUUAUGAACAAAGUAUGGAAAGCCAGGAUGUUUUUAUAUUCGUGAAAAAAUUGAAAAAGAGACAUUUUUAAAGCUUUGAAAAAUUUAUGACAAAAUAUAUUCAAAUUUACAAAACAUUUCUUCAAAAUCACAAACAUUUUAAAAAAAUAAAAAACAUGAAAUAAGAAAACAAAACAAAGAAAGGAAAAAGGGAGAGAAUGUGCAGUUAUGAACCCCUUGAAAACUUGCAACUGCGACUACACUAGAGAAAAUUGCAGUUGCGACCGAACUUUAAAAAACUUGUAAUUAGGACUACCCUGGAGGAACUUGCAAUUGCAACCGGCCUUUAAAAAACUUGCAAUAAAGACUACCCUAGAGAAAGUUAUAGUUGCGCCCAGCGUUAAAAAACAUACAAUUGCGACUGGCCUUCAAAAUGUUGUGAUUGCGACUACCCUAGAGAAACUUGCAGAUGCGACAAACCUUCAAAAAACUAGCAAUUGUGAUUGGCCUUCAAAAAACAUGCAAUUGCGGCUAGACUUUUGAAGCCUUUGAAAGGAAAGUAUCAUGGAGCUCACAGAUCGCCUAGCCUACAUUUCUGAAAGAUUACAUCGAAGGCGAAUAACUGAUAUCACCGAAAAAGAUGUGGUCAAUAAACUGCUCAGCACUUGUGAUGCAUGCUUUGAGUCAAUAAUUGCAGAAAUCGAGCUAAGAUCUGACUUUGAAGAACUUCACUAUCUUGAGGCCUUAGUACAAAAGAAAAAAAAUCUUUAGGAAUGAAUUCCAAAUCAAACUACCUUCGAUAAGAAAAACUACAUAAACAAAAAUCUUCAAAUCUUUUGAUAAUGUUAUUAAAUACUUUAAAUGAAAUAUUAAAUACUCAAAGAAUAUGUAAGGACAUCUCCAACGCCGACUCUCAAAACGCCCGCAACCGUCCAGACCUACUUUUUCCCGUAAACUAGAAAAAAACUAGGGGGAGGGGGGGAGGGGAACUUGUGGGCCUCCGAACCGCUGCAUGCUCCAAGAAACCCUUCUCUCCAGCGUCCCUUCCCGACCAAAGCGGGCAGCGCCACUCCAGAGCACUGGUGUCGCAUUCAUGCCGACUCAUAGCGACGCGACCUCUCAUUGGCGCUACAACAUUGAAGCGGCGACCCGGCCUAGAACGUCCCACGCGUCGUUUCCACGCGCAUGCGAAUCCUACUGGUUCAAAUGACCGGCCAUCAUUCCGCUUCCCUACAUUAAACAUGCACGGUUUCCCUGCCAUCGGCCGCAUAUUUAAACUCAAGGCCCGCCAUAGCCACAUCAAUCCUCCCCCGCUCCUUUUAUCCUCUUCGCACCAUGCCCGCCAUGGCCUCUUCGAGUUCCAAAGCUAUCUGGGACUGCCUCUCACUCGAGUUGACAACAAAAAUCACCGCCAAUGCUGUCGAAAGCCAGAAGCCUUCUAAAAGAAGAUCGACGAGGCGGUCGGUGAAGUAUACGGCAAGAGCUAGCGAAGACGAGGGCGACGUUGCCAGCUCUGCGACACCCGCGCCCCACCGCCGGCAGCAAGAAAGAGUAGAGCAUGGGGGAUCGCUGACGCUCUAGUCCCAAGAAGACCUCCGCCCUUUCGCUGGCCGAUUAGCCACUUUCAAGCUGCGGAGGCGAAGCUAGAGUUUCAGUUCCCAGGGCUCAUGGCCGGCAGGAAAUAGGCAAACAGGCACCGACGGUCAUUUAGACUAGGUUUAGAGUACGGUUUAGUUCGAAUAUAUCGAAAUGCAAUUAGUUUUCCUCCGGUGUAGAUGAAAAGCAUUCGGGUUUAUCUAAAAAUUAUUCAAGUAUGAAUUAAUGUAGCCUGGUUUGUCUAAAUAUCCCUCAAAUUUGUUCACUUUAGUUAAAUUUAUUCUGAAAUGCAACCGAACAUAUACACAUAGCUUUGGAUGAUCUCCUCCGACAUCAAUGUCCGCGGAUCGAGGGAACUUAAGUAUGUGUCAAUGAAGGACGUUAGGGUAGCUUCUCACAUCAACACUUCAAGAUCCAAAUAAGGAUAACUCAACCCGUUGAAACACACCCGCAUAUAUGGACCAAUAGAAAUAAUGGAAACUUUAUUUCAAUGUUUGUCAGACUUGAAUAUAAGUGGAACAACCCAUGGGUAUAUGUACUAGUAUUAAUAAAGCAAGGUGUGUUUUUUUGAUUUUUUUUCAUUUGUUCACCCUCAAAAAUAUUUUUUUAUCAAAGGCAGUACUAAAUUUUUAUGCGUCCGUCUGCUAUAAAAAACAGUUUCUCCGGGCUUUUGUGAGUGACCCGCGCGCACUGUAGCCCAGCGAAGCCAAUCUACUUAUUUUUCUACCCACAUAGCCGGGGUGGGGCAAAUAGUCGGAGCUUCGCAGAGGGCGCGCAAAGCUGGGCCGACCAGUUUUUCUUUUCUUUCUGUGUUUUGUUUCUAUUUUUCUUUCCUUUUUCUGUUCCAAUUUCAUAUUUAUUUUUCGUUUUUCCAUAAUUCAAAAUAUUCAACAAAAUAUUCAGAAUUUCAAAAUCUUUUCACAUUUUCAAAAAUUCAGAAUUCCAGUUUUUCCCCCAUUUUUCAAAAAUGUUCGUAACUCUUAGUUUUUUUUCUUGUUCCAAAAUAUGUUCUAAAUUCACAAAAUUUCCAUUUUGUUCAAAAUAUUGAUUUUUUUCAAAAAAAAUAUUUAUGUUUUUCAAAAUUGUUUGAGAUUGAAAAAAUGCAUUUUAAUGAGGUUUUAAAUUUUUGAAUAAUACUCUUUUUUAGUGAAAUAUUGGCGAAUGUAAUCUAUUCCUACUAAUAAAGCAAGGUGUGUUUCUCUCAUUUUUUUAUUCUUUCACUGCCAAUUGUGUUUCUAUGCGGGAGACUAAAUUUUUGUGCGUCAAUGACUCCGUCUGCUGUAAAAAAAACAGUUUGUCCAGAAUUUCGUAAGUGGGCCGCGCACGAUAUGGCCCAGCGAAGGCAGCCCACGUAUUUACCUGCCCACGCAGUCGGGGACACCCUAUUUGCUGCAUGUUGAGGCAAACAUUCGGAGCUUCGCAGAGGGUCGGCAAGGCUUGGCCGGCCGUUUUUUUCCUGUGUUCUACUUCUAUUGUUCCUAACUGUUUUUAUUUUUUCCCUUCCAAGCUUAUUGUUCUUUUUUCCUUUUUUCUUAAAUUCAGAAUAUUCAAAAAAUUCAAAAUUUCAAUUUUUCCACAUUUUCGAAAAUGAAGAAUUCCAAAAUUUUGUUCCUGUUUUGGAAAAUAUUCGGAACUAUCAAUUUUGUUCUCUUUCCAAAAAAAAUUCCAAAUUCUAAAAAUAUUCCUAUUUUUUCAAAGUAUUGUUUCUAAUUUCCAAAUUUGUUUAUGUUUUUUUUAUUUUUGAGAUUUUUCUUAAAAAAUGCAUUUUAGUUAUAUUUUCAAAAUUUGAAUAAUACUCUUGUUUUUGUGAAAUUUUGACGAAUGUAAAAUAAUAUUCACGCUUAAUUUUUUUUUCAAAAUUUGUUCUGAAUGUUCAAAACAUGUUCCUAUUUCCAAAAAUUGUUAACAAGUUUAGAAAAUGAUUUCAAAAACUGUUCGCCUAUUUAAAAAUGUUCCUAUUUUAAAUUUAUUAUUUUCUCCAGAAAUGAAUGGAAAUUUCUAAAAUACGGUUCUCCUUUUUGGAAACUGUUCAGGAUUUCAAAUAUUGUUCAUGUUUUGAAUGUGAUACUGCAACAUGUUCUUAAAUAUUGUCACUGGCCAUUGGUUAGCCAGCAUGUGGCCGUGUCUUUGAGCGCGUGAUUUCGAUCAUUCAAGACGUUUCUUUUUUAUUUUGGAUUUUUACCCGCGCCUUACAAAUAAAGUUCGUUUCGGUUUCUAUCGUGGUCAAGCCUGGGCAUUUCACAUGCCACACAACUUAGCCGGCCCAUCUACUUGGGAAAUAAGGCAAAAUAUUUAAAUAGUCCCACAUUGCUCCUUUACAUACAGUUGUACGAAUUUAUAAACAUAUGUGAAACUACAUGUGGUAAGUUGGAUGAAGGUUGGAUGGAUUAAGUUGGACGAAGAAUGGAUGGAUUGGCUUGUGUACGUGAGCUAGAUGGAUAGAUUGCUAGGUGAACUAGCUACAAAAGGACCCCGAAUUUCUCCAGUACAUGAGUACCCGAGGAAAAGAGAAGAGAAGACCUGACUAUGUGGGCUACAUGCUUGCAAAAGAGAAGACCCGACUCACUCCCAUAUUAUGGAACAUCACGCCUUAAAUGGAGUAGAAUUAAUAAAACCUAGGACCUAAAUGUUCAAACUUCAUACAUUAAAUCCCCUCGAUCAACAAACAUAAAAAUAGCGGAUUGAUUACUUCGCACACGACGAAAACAAAAACAUAAAUAUCCUUCUCGGUGUGCACAUUAGGUUAUGUUUCCACAUAUAAUUCUCACUAAAUUUAAAUGCAAAUUAUUUUUUUCUCCCGUUGCAACGCAUAGGCAUAUGUGCUAGUAGAUGGAUAACAGAAUGUUCAAACUUCAUACAUUAAAUCCCCUCGAUCAACAAACAGAAAAAUAGCAGAUUGAUUACUUCGCACAUGACGAAAACAAAAACAUAAAUAUCCUUCUCGGUGUGCACAUUAGGUUAUGUUUUCACAUAUAAUUCUCACUAAAUUUAAAUGCACAUUAUUUUUUCUCCCGUUGCAACGCAUAGGCAUAUGUGCUAGUAGAUGGAUAAUAGAAAUUGAAUAGAUAGAUAUAUUUCUGUUCAGUCAAAAUUCGUGCCCGUUGGUUGUUUUCUCAUGGCCGAAAUCACUAUUCUGACCCUUUGAACGAACUUUGUCACAAAAUGAACUCGACAUGAAAGUAUUUCAUGAUCUGACUCUUUUAGCAACGCCACAGCCCGCGGCGUUUCUGCCCAACAUAGAAACGCCGAGGUAGCUAGCGUUUCUGAUCAAAGAAGAAAGGCCGAGGUAGCUAGCGUUACGGACUAGGUAAGAAACGCCAAAGGUGCUGGCGUUUCUGGCCAUGAUAGAAACGCCAACGAACCAUGGCGUUGCUGCCCUCUUUGGUCAUAAUUAAUUAGCCUUAUUAAUUAGGCUGUUCAUCCACAUUCCACAUGCACAUGAAAAAAGGCAGCAACGCCAUGGUCAUUGGCGUUUCAAUGAUGGGCAGCAACGCCAGCGCCUUCGGCGUUUCUUACCUGGUCCGUAACGCUAGCUAUCUCGACGUUUCUUCUUUGAUCAGAAACGCUAGCUACCUCGGCGUUUCUAUGUUGGGCAGAAACGCCGUGAGCUGUGGCGUUGCUAAAAGGGUCAGAUUGUGAAAUACUUUCACGUCGAGUUCAUUUUGUGACAAAGUUUGUUCAAAGGGUCAGAAUAGUGAAAAAGGCCUUUUCUCAUGGAGGUGUUUAGGGUGUGGGUUUUCGAGUAAAGCUACAUCAACGUUUGUUUUUAACAGAUCUUACAAACUGGUUGACGUGUGGGCAUCUGAUUGCAAAAUGAAAGGGGACACGUACUACAGGAAAAGGGCUGGUGGCCGACAUUUGGGAAAGUCGGGCCGAUCGGGUGUCUUCAUUCAAGCGAGGGUACAGAGGAAGAACGAAACGAAGUGAGAGGCCGGGGGAGCCCACUUGAUACGAACCUAGGCAACUAGCACUGGAUUAACUAUCACAAUCACCAGAUCUAGGAUACAAUUUGGUGGCAAGGGUUCUUCAGCGAGAAAGGGGAUCGGGGAGAUAGAGCCAAGACGUGGAAUAACGGAUCUCGCCCAACAGCGAACUUUACAAAGUGGUCGAACGAUAACCCUACGCACUACACCCACUAGACUAAAGUAGCAGCAGCGGCACCAAGUCUGGGCCAUGAAUCCGUGGGUUGGGCUUGUUGUCUCUCUUUGCCUGGGUCUUGGUCUUGUGUCAUGGUUGUUUCCUUCACAUUCCUCCUCCCUUUAACUUUGACGCACGGGGGAAAUACGAAUGGACUGGUUCUGCAUCUUCCCAGGUCGCCAAGGAAGGUGGAAACCAGACCACUGCACCUGAACCAACAACGCGGCCUGACGUGUGCCACAAUGGAAAAUGCGUGAAUAACAUUAAUACCAGCAACAGUCGGCCAUGCAUGAGGCCAGGAAUAGCAUUUAUACCAGCCUAUUAUGUAACCCCUCCCGGCACAUAUGCCUAUGCGUUGUAACAGGAGAGAAAAUAAUGUGCAUUUAAAUUUAUGUUACCCCUCCCAACGGGAGGGAAGCACUGGGCUGAAGGUUGGAUAUCCACAAUUUUUACCUUACGCCAAGAGCUAGCUAAGAACACUACAUAAGAAGGGUAUUACCUCCAUUGGGGAGGGCCUGAACCUAUAUAAACCCUUGUGCAUACUACCAUCUGUAUUGAUCGAUAGAUACGAUUGUAUCCACAUACACACUACUGCAGUAUUGGUAGGAUUAUAUCCAUAACAAAUGGCUUGUAGUUUUUGAUCCACAAUACGACAGAUCAACUUCUCUAGAAAAAUUAAUCCACCUCCUUAUCGACAUCCUUGUCGAGCCUCUAGAGGUUGUUGGCUUUCGCGAUGCAUGUUGAUAUUUGCCACCAACGUGAACAAAAAUCAUCGAAAUCAGCAUUGAUACCCCCUAGUGGUGUGACUGCAUGCGGAUCUCGAGGGCUCAUAACACCUCUUUGACUACUUGUCCAGAAUUAGCAUUGUCAAGGAGGCGUUCAAGUGGAAGAAGCAAAGGAAAGCCCCGUGUAGUGUGUGACUUUCCCGCUUGAUCGUGCACUAAUCAUACAUCCAAAUGCACACGAUCAAAAUCAGGGACUCACGGGAAGAUAUCACAACAUAACUCUAAACACAAAUUAAAGUCAUACAAGCUUUAUAUUACAAGCCAGGGGCCUCAAGGGCUCGAAUACAUAACCUUGAAUACAAACGAGUCAGCGAAAACAACAAUAUCUAAGUACAUACAUAAGAUAAACAAGUCUGCCUUAAGAAGUGUAGCACAAAAGCAACAACGAUAGAAAAGGCAAGGCUUCCUGCCCGGGAGCCUCCUAACUACUCCUGGUCGUCUGUGGUCUCCACGUAGUAGUAGGCACCAUCGGGGUAGUAGUAGUUGUCGGCAGUGGCAUCUUGCUCCUGGGAUCUGUCAUCUGAUCGCAGCAAUUCGGUACAGGGGGAAAAUGAGUAGCAAAGCAACCGUGAGUACUCAUCCAAAGUACUCGCAAGACUUACAUCAGAACUAUACUAAGUAUGUAUCAGUAUCAAAGGAACGAGGCUAUAUUUUUGGACUGAACUGCAGAAAUGCCAGAAUAGAGGGAAAUCCUAGCCUAUCGAAGACUAACAUGUUGAAGCAUCUUGCAACAUUAGAAGCGUACAUAUUAGCAUAUUAUAAGUAGCAAGUUUAUUUAGUAACUAUAAGAGAUCCUUUCUCAACUCCCUGCAAGAAAGCAAUCCCACAGCCAACAUAUCCAUUUCAUCUCUAGUAUCCAGUUCUAUUUGUAUAGACCGGGAUACAACUCCGAGUGUGCAUUACCGUGGACACGACUAUUCAAAUAGAUAUACUUCCCUGUAGGGGUGCACAAACUUACCCAACACGCUUGAUUAACUCCGGCCGGGAAAACCAUCAGAUCAUACACUACCUAGACUCAACAGAGAGGCCAACACGCCGGUCUACACCCUAAGUGCGCGGGGGUCUUGAGCCCAUCGCCCGUAGCACUCCUGCAUGUUGCGAGGACGACCGAGAUCAGUCCUGGCUACCUCUUUAUACAAAGAAGGUGCUUACGCGGAUCACCCGAGCGCGUGCCGCUCCAUCAGUGACGUCUGCGAGCUUUCUGAAGAAACAUAUGACAUAGAGUGCCCAUGCUUAUUCCCGCAUGGUGUCAGUGCGAAAAGGCCAGAGGCCUAUUCGGAUUACAUAUCCAAAUGCAUUAGUGUCUUGGGAGCGCGCGAUGACGAUCAGUGCUACUGUCGCCCCGUCUCAAGGACUUAUGGCAAGGGCCAGGCCCAGCCCUCUUUGGGGCGGUCUGCCUACCCGGCUGUCCCUCAUAAUUAUCUCACGGGUACCCUCCAGGUCAACCCAACUUCAGUAACUCUCGCGGGUAUCGCUCGGGGCCGACCCGUCUUUAACAUGGUUUCGUGGUAAAGUCAAAGUAAUCGUGUGUCCAAAACACCAAGGGAGAAUCCGAGGAAUCACCCUCGAUGGAAUCCACCUGAUGUAAUCAUCAAGGUGAACUUGGAGGACUCACCCUCGAUGGUUCAUGCUUGAGGUGUUGCACGAUAGAUUCAUUAUCGGGAGUGGUAAAGGAGGAAUCACCCUCGAUAGACCACGACCGAUUAGCUACACUACAGAGUUAUCAUCAGGAGUGCGUUACGAGGUAUCACCCACGACACUCGGUAGUAGCUUUGCAGAGUGGUACAACUAAAGGUCGCGAGGUGAUGUGUCGGGCCCUAGACGUCGAUCACGUUGAUCGACUCAUCGGUGAUGAAGCCGGGGCAACUGGGACAAGGUGUGGGGUCACUGAUGGAUUACUAACCAACCUAUACUAAGCAUGUAGGAUAAGUAGGUAAGGUACAAAAGCAGGUUACAAAGUCAAGCUAUGCAUUAGAAUAAGAGCAAUCAUUUACAGUAGAAAAAUCUAAUGCAAGCAUGAGAGAGAAUAGAAUGGGCGAUAUAGGAAUGAUCAAACGGGGUUUGCUUGCCUGGAAGCUCUGCUGCAAGUGGCUGGACGUCAAGGGCGUAGUCUUACCCGGCAGCAUAGUCAGUAUCGGUGUUUAUCGGAGAUAGGAGGGGGGAAAAUAAUAAAUAUAAAGCAACAGUUGCAUCACGAUGCAUGACAUGACCAAAUGCAGUGCUAGAGGUGACCUAACGGAGUAAUACACAUUACAGACGAAGAUGGAAAACAUCUGGGGAUGUUUUCCCGGCGUUUGACAUUUUCUGGACAGAUGAAAGAGAGGGGAAGGAUCCAUGUUUGCAGUGUUAGAGGGGUGUGUCAGAUGAAUGGAAUGCAUAUCGGAUUUGUUGUUUUUUUCUGAGCAAUUUUCAUGUAUAAAUUAUUUGAAUUAAUUAUUUUAUAUUAAUUUCCAAAGUUUUAAACAUUUUUUGAAUUAAUUAUUAAAUAAAAAAUGAAGUUAUUGCAUCAGCAUGACGUCAGUGGUCAACCCAGCUGGUCCAGGUCCAACCGGACAGCUGGGUCCUACAUGUCAUUGAUAGUGGGGUUAAUAGAGGGUUAAUUUUAACUAACUAGCACUACUAUGGAAAACCCUAGCAGUAGCGCGUGUUUAAAGCUUAUCAGUAGCGCGGGGAACAACGCUACUAGUAAGGUGCUAGUGUUGGGGAACGUAGCAGAAAUUCAAAAUUUUCCUACGUGUCACCAAGAUCUAUCUAUGGAGAAACCAGCAACGAGGGGAAGGUGAGUGCAUCUACAUACCCUUGUAGAUCGCUAAGCGGAAGCGUUCAAGAGAACGGAGUUGAAGGAGUCGUACUCAUCGUGAUCCAAAUCACCGGAGAUCCUAGUGCCGAACAGACGGCACCUCCGCGUUCAACACACGUACAGCCCGGUGACGUCUCCCAUGCCUUGAUCUAGCAAGGAGAGAGGGAGAGGUUGAGGAAUACUCCGUCCAGCAGCAGCACAAUGGCGUGGUGGUGGUGGAGGAGCGUGGCAAUCCAGCAGGGCUUCGCCAAGCACCGUGAGAUAUGAGGAGAAAGAGAGGUAGGGCUGCGCCAACAGGAGAAGGACUUCGUGUGUUGGGCUGCCCCUUUGCCUCCAAUAUAUAUAGGGGGAGAGGGGGGGCUGUGCCCCCACCUAGGGUUCCACCCCUAGGGGCGGCGGCCAGCCCUAGAUCCCAUCUAGGGGGCGGCCAAGGGGGGGAGGAGUGCCUCCCAAGUCAAGUGGAGGCCCUCCCCCUUAGGGUUUCCCCUCUCCCAUGCGCAUGGGCCUUGGGGGGCUGGUGCCCGUGGCCCAUUAAGGCUAGGGCGCCCCCUUACAGCCCAUGCUACUGUAUUGGACGUGGUGGAACAUUUUCCGGACCUCCGUACCCCUCCGGAAUCCUCCGGAACCUUCCGGAAGCUUCCCGGUACAAUACCGGAAAAAACUGAACUUUUCCCGGAACCCGAACAACAACUUUCCAUAUAUAAAUCUUUACCUCCGGAACUCCUCGUGACGUCCAGGAUCUCAUCCGGGACUCCGAACAACAUUCGGUAACCACAUACAAACUUCCUUUAUAACCCUAGCAUCAUCGAACCUUAAGUGUGUAGACCCUACAGGUUCAGGAACCAUGCAGACAUGACCGAGAUGUUCUCCGGUCAAUAACCAACAGCGGGAUCUGGAUACCCAUGUUGGCUCCCACAUGUUCCACGAUGAUCUCAUCGGAUGAACCACGAUGUCAAGGACUCACUCAAUCCCGUAUACAAUUCCCUUUGUCUAGCGGUAUUGUACUUGCCCGAGAUUCGAUCGUCGGUAUCCCGAUACCUUGUUCAAUCUCAUUACCGGCAAGUCUCUUUACUCGUUCCGUAACACAUCAUCCCAUGAUCAAGCCCUUGGUCACAUUGUGCACAUUAUGAUGAUGUCCUACCGAGUGGGCCCAGAGAUACCUCUCCGUUUACACGGAGUGACAAAUCCCAGUCUCGAUUCGUGCCAACCCAACAGACACUUUAGGAGAUACCUGUAGUGCACCUUUAUAGCCACCCAGUUACGUUGUGACGUUUGGUACACCCAAAGCAUUCCUACGGUAUCCGGGAGUUGCACAAUCUCAUGGUCUAAGGAAAUGAUACUUGACAUUAGAAAAGCUUUAGCAUACGAACUACGAUCUUUGUGCUAGGCUUAGGAUUGGGUCUUGUCCAUCACAUCAUUCUCCUAAUGAUGUGAUCCCGUUAUCAACGACAUCCAAUGUCCAUGGUGAGGAAACCGUAACCAUCUAUUGAUCAACGAGCUAGUCAACUAGAGGCUUACUAGGGACAUAGUGUUGUCUAUGUACGCACACAUGUAUCUGAGUUUCCUUUCAAUACAAUUAUAGCAUGGAUAAUAAACGAUUAUCAUGAACAAGGAAAUAUAAUAAUAACUAAUUUAUUAUUGCCUCUAGGGCAUAUUUCCAACAGUCUCCCACUUGCACUAGAGUCAAUAAUCUAGUUCACAUCGCCAUGUGAUUAACACUCACAGGUCACAUCGCCAUGUGACCAACAUCCAAAGAGUUUACUAGAAUCAAUUAUCUAGUUCACAUCACUAUGUGAUUAACACUCAAUGAGUUAUGGGUUUGAUCAUGUUUAUGCUUGUGAGAGAGGUUGUAGUCAACUGGUCUGCAAUAUUCAGAUCCCUAUGUAUUUCGCAAAACUUUAUGUCAUAUCAUAGAUGCUGCUACCACGUUCCACUUGGAGCUAUUCCAAAUUGUUGCUCCAUUAUACGUAUCUGGUAUCUCUACUCAGAGCUAUCCGGAUAGGUGUUAAGCUUGCAUCGACGCAACUCUUUACAUCGAACUCUUUAUCACCUCCAUAACCGAGAAACAUAUCCUUAUUCCUCUAAGGAUAAUUUUUACCGCUAUCUGGUGAUCCACUCCUUGAUCACCUUUGUACCCUCUUGCCAGAUAUGUAGCAAGGCACACAUCAGGUGCGGUACACAGCAUAGCAUACUGUAGAGCCUAUGUCUAAGGCAUAGGGGACGACCUUCGUCCUUUCUCUCUUUUCUGCCGUGGUCGAGCUUUAACUCUUAACUUCAUACCUUACAACUCAGGCAAGAACUCCUUCUUUGACUGAUCCAUCUUGAACACCUUCAAGAUUAUGUCAAGGUAUGUGCUCAUUUGAAAGUACCAUUAAGCGUGUUUGAUCUAUCCUUAUAGAUCUUGAUGCUCAAUGUUCAAGUAGCUUAAUCCAGGUUUUCUAUUGAAAAACACCUUUCAAAUAACCCUGUAUGCUUUCCAGAAAUUCUACAUCAUUUCUGAUCAACAAUAUGUCAACGACAUAUACUCAUCAGAAAUUCUAUAGUGCUCCCACUCACUUCUUUGGAAAUACAAGUUUCUCAUAAACUUUGUAUAAACCAAAAAUCUUUGAUCAUCUCAUCAAAGUGCACAUUCCAACUCCGAGAUGCUUACUCCAGUCCUUAGAAGGAUCGCUGGAGCCAGCAUACCUUUUAGCAUCCUUAGGAUCGACAAAAGCUUUCUGAUUGUAUCACAUACAACCUUUCCUUACGAAGACUGGUAAGGAAACUCGUUUUGACAUCCAUCUGCCAGAUUUCAUAAAUGCAGCUAAUGCUAACAUGAUUCCGACGGACUUAAGUAUCGCUACGGAUGAGAAAAUAUCAUCGUAGUCAACUCCUUGAACUUGUGAAAAACUCUUCGCCACAAGUCGAGCUUCAUAGACGGUGACAUUACCGUCCACGUCCGUCUUCUUCUUAAAGAUCCAUUUAUCUCAAUGGCUUGCUUAUCGGGCAAGUCCACCAAAGUCCAUGCUUUGUUCUGAUACAUGGAUCCUAUCUCGGAUUUCAUGGCUUCUAACCAUUUGUUGGAAUAUGGGCCCACCAUCGCUUCUCCAUAGCUCGUAGGUUCAUCUAGCAAUAUGACCUUCAAGACGGGAUUACUGUACCACUCUGAAGUAGUACGCAUCCUUGUCACCCCACGAGGUACGUUAGUGACUUGAUCCGAAACUUCAUGAUCACUAUCAUAAGCUUCUACUUCAAUUGGUGUAGGCGCCACAGGAACAACUUCCUGUGCCCUGCUGCACACUAGUUGAAGUGAUGGUUCAAUAACGUCAUCAAGUCUCCACCAUCCUCCCACUCAAUUCUUUCGAGAGAAACUUUUCCUCGAGAAAGGACCCGUUUCUGGAAACAAUUACUUUUGCUUCUGGAUCUUGAGAUAGGAGGUAUAGCCAACUGUUUUGGGUGUCCUAUGAAGAUGUAUUUAUCCAUUUUGGGUUCGAGCUUAUCACGAUGAAACUUUUUGACAUAAGCGUCGCAGCCCCAAACUUUUAAGAAACGACAACUUAGGUUUCUCCAAACCAUAGUUCAAACGGUGUCGUCUCAACGGAAUUACGUGGUGCCCUAUUAAAGUGAAUGUGGUUGUCUCUAAUGCCUAACCCAUGAACGAUAGUGGUAAUUCGAUAAGAGACAUCAUGGUACGCACCAUAUCUAAUAGGGUGCAACUAUGAUGUUCGGACACACCAUCACACUAUGGUGUUCCAGGCGGUAUUAAUUGUGAAACAAUUUCCACAAUGUCUUAAUAGCGUGCCAAAGCUCGUAACUCAGAUACUCAUCUUUAUGAUCAUAUCAUAGACAUUUUAUCCUCUUGUCACGAUGAUCUUUUAACUUCACUCUGAAAUUACUUGAACCAUUCAACAAUUCAGACUUGUGUUUCAUCAAGUAAAUACACUCAGUAUCUACUUAAAUCACCCGUGAAGUAAGAACAUUACGAUAUUCACUACAUGUCUCAGCACUCAUUGGACUGCACACAUCAAAAUGUGUUACUUCAAACAAGUUGCUACUUGUUCCAUCUUACUGAAACCGAGGCUUUUCAGUCAUCUUGCCCAUGUGGUAUGAUUUGCAUAUCUCAAGUGAUUCAAAAUCAAGUAAGUCCAAACGAUCCAUCCCCAUGGAGUUUCUUCAUGCGUAUACACCAAUAGACGUGGUUCGCAUGUCUCAAACUUUUCAAAAACGAGUGAGUCCAAACAUCCAUCAACAUGGAGCUUCUUCAUGCGUUUUACACCAGUAUGACUUACAUGGCAGUGCCACAAGUAAGUGGUACUAUCAUUACUAUCUUAUAUCUUUUGGCAUGAAAAUGUGUAUCACUAUGAUCGAGAUUCAAUAAACCAUUCUUUUAGGCGCAAGACCAUUGAAGGUAUUUAUUCAAAUAAAUAGAGUAACCAUUAUUCUCCUUAAAUGAAUAUCCAUAUUGCGAUAGACAUAAUCCAAUCAUGUCUAUGCUCAACGCAAACACCAAAUAACAAUUUUAGGUUUAACUCCAAUCUCGAUGGUAGAGGGAGCGUGCGAUGCUUGAUCACAUCAACCUUGGAAACACUUCCAACACAUAUCGUCGGCUCACCUUUAGCUACUCUCCGUUUAUUCCGUAGCUUUUAUUUCGAGAUACUAACACUUAGCAACCGAACCGUUAUCUAAUACCCUGGUGCUACUAGGUGUACUAGUAAAGUACACAUUAACAUAAUGUAUAUCCAAUAUACUUCUAUCGACCUUGCCAGCCUUCUCAUCUACCAAGUAUCUAGGGUGGUUCCGCUUCAGUGUCCGUUCCUCUCAUUACAGAAGCACUUAGUCUGGGGUUUGGGUUCAACCUUGGGUUUCUUCACUAGAGCAGCAACUGUUUUGCCGUUUCAUGAAGUAUCCCUUGUUGCCCUUGCCCUUCUUGAAACUAGUGGUUUUACCAACCAUCAAUAAUUGAUGCUCCUACUUGACUUCUACUUUCGCGGUGUCAAACAUCGCGAACACUUCAAGGAUCAUCAUAUCUAUCCCUGAUAUGUUAUAGUUCAUCACGAAGCUCUAGUAGCUUGGUGGCAAUGUCUUUGGAGAAACAUCACUAUCUCAUUUGGAAGAUUAACUCCCACUCGAUUCAAGUGAUUGUUGUAACCAGACAAUCUGAGUACAAGCUCAACGAUUGAGAUCUUCUCCCUUAGUUUGUAGGCUAGAAAACUCGUUGGAGGUCUCAUACCUCUUGACGUGGGAACGAGCCUGAAAUCCCAAUUUCAGCCCUCAGAACAUCUCAUAUGUUUCGCGAUGUUUCAAAAACGUUUUUGGUGCCUCAAUUCUAAGCCGUUUAACAUUACCGAACUAUCACGUAGUCAUCAAAACGUGUGUGUCAGAUGUUCGCAACAUCCACAGGCCACGUUCGAGGUCCAGCACACCGAGCGGUGCAUUAAGGACAUAAGCUUUCUAAUGACCGCAUAAUUGCUACUGUCAACUUUCAACUAUAUUUUCUCUAGGAACAUAUCUAAACAGUAGAACUAAAGCGCGAGCUAUGACAUAAUUUGCAAAGGGCUUUUGACUAUGUUCAGGAUAAUUAAGUUCAUCUAAUGAACUCCCACUCAGAUAGACAUCCCUCCAGUCAUCUAAGUGAUUACAUGAUCCGAGUCAACUAGGCUGUGUCCGAUCAUCACGUGAGAUGGACUAGUCAUCAUCGGUGAACAUCUUCAUGUUGAUCGUAUCCACCAUACGACUCAUGCUCGACCUUUCGGUCUCUUGUGUUCCGGGGCCAUGUCUGUACAUGCUAGGCUCGUCAAGUUAACCUAAGUGUUUCACGUGUGUAAAUCUGGCUUACACCCGUUGUAUGUGAACGUAAGAAUCUAUCACACCCGAUCAUCACGUGGUGCUUCGAAACGACGAACUUUCGCAACGGUGCACAGUUAGGGGAACACUUUAUUGAAAUUUUAAUGAGGGAUCAUCUUAUUUACUACCGUCGUUCUAAGCAAAUAAGAUGCAUAAACAUGAUAAACAUCACAUGCAAUCAAAUGGUGACAUGAUAUGGCCAAUAUCAUUUUGCUCCUUUUGAUCUCCAUCUUCGGGGCUCCAUGAUCAUCAUCGUCACCGACAUGACACCAUGAUCUCCAUCAUCGUGUCUCAAUGAAGUUGUCUCGCCAACUUAUUACUUCUACUACUAUGGCUACCGGGUAGCAAUAAAGUAAAGUAAUUACAUGGAGUUUGUUCAAUGACACGCAGGUCAUACAAUAAAUAAAGACAACUCCUAUGGCUCCUGCCGGUUGUCAUACUCAUCGACAUGCAAGUCGUGAUUCCUAUUACAAUAACAUGAUCAAUCUCAUACACCACAUAUCAUUCAUCACAUUCAUCUUGUCCAUAUCACAUCACAUAGCAUACCCUGCAAAAACAAGUUAGACGUCCUCUAAUUGUUGUUUGCAUGUUUUACGUGGCUGCUAUGGGUUUCUAGCAAGAAUGUUUCUUACCUACGCAAAACCACAACGUGAUAUGCCAAUUGCUAUUUACCCUUCAUAAGGAUCCUUUUCAUCGAAUCCGUUCCGACUAAAGUGGGAGAGACUGGCACCCGCUAGCCACCUUAUGCACCAAGUGCAUGUCAGUCGGUGGAACCUGUCUCAUGUAAGUGUACGUGUAAGGUCGGUCCGGGCCGCUUCAUCCCACAAUACCGUCGAAACAAGAUUGGACUAGUAACGGUAAGCAUAUUGAACAAAAUCAACGCCCACAACUACUUUGUGUUCUACUCGUGCAAAGAAUCUACGCAAUAGACCUAGCUCUGAUACCACUGUUGGGAACGCAGCAGAAAUUCAAAAUUUUCCUAUGUGUCACCAAGAUCUAUCUAUGGAGAAACCAACAACGAGGGGAAGGAGAGUGCAUCUACAUACCCUUGUAGAUCGCUAAGCGGAAGCGUUCAAGAAAACGGGGUUGAAGGAGUCGUACUCGUCGUGAUCCAAAUCACCGGAGAUCCUAGUGCCGAACAGACGGCACCUCCGCGUUCAACACGCGUACAGCUCGGUGACGUCUCCCAUGACUUGAUCCAGCAAGGAGAGAGGGAGAGGUUGAGGAAGACUCUGUCCAGCAGCAGCACAACGCCGUGGUGGUGGUGGAGGAGCGUGGCAAUCCAGCAGGGCUUCGCCAAGCACCGUGAGAUACGAGGAGAAAGAGAGGUAGGGCUGCGCCAAUAGGAGAAGGACUUCGUGUGUUGGGCUGCCCCUUUGCCUCCACUAUAUAUAGGGGGAGAGGGGGGGCUGUGCCCCCACCUAGGGUUCCACCCCUAGGGGCGGCGGCCAGCCCUAGAUCCCAUCUAGGGGGCGGCCAAGGGGGGGUGGAGUGCCUCCCAAGUCAAGUGGAGGCCCUCCCCCUUAGGAUUUCCCCUCUCCCAUGCGCAUUAAGGCUAGGGCGCCCCCUUACAGCACAUGCUGCUGUAUUGGACGUGGUGGAACAUUUUCCGGACCUCCGGACCCCUCCGGAAUCCUCCGGAACAUUCCGGAAGCUUCCCGGUACAAUACUGGAAAACACCAAACUUUUCCCUGAACCCGAACAACAACUUUCCAGAUAUAAAUCUUUACCUCCGGACCAUUCCGGAACUCCUCGUGACAUCCAGGAUCUCAUCCGGGACUCCGACCAACAUUCGGUAACCACAUACAAACUUCCUUUAUAACCCUAGCAUCAUCGAACCUUAAGUGUGUAGACCCUACGGGUUCGGGAACCAUGCAGACAUGACCGAGAUGUUCUCCGGUCAAUAACCAACAGCGGGAUCUGGAUACCCAUGUUGGCUCCCACAUGUUCCACGAUGAUCUCAUCGGAUGAACCACGAUGUCAAGGACUCAAUCAAUCUCGUAUACAAUUCCCUUUGUCUAGCGGUAUUGUACUUGCCCGAGAUUCGAUCGUCGGUAUCCCGAUACCUUGUUCAAUCUCGUUACCGGCAAGUCUCUUUACUCGUUCCGUAACACAUCAUCCCGUGAUCAACCCCUUGGUCACAUUGUGCACAUUAUGAUGAUGUGCUACCGACUGGGCCCAGAGAUACCUCUCCGUUUACACGGAGUGACAAAUCCCAGUCUCGAUUCGUGCCAACCCAACAGACAGUUUCGGAGAUACCUGUAGUGCACCUUUAUAGCCACCCAGUUACGUUGUGACGUUUGGUACACCCAAAGCAUUCCUAAGGUAUCCGGGAGUUGCACAAUAUCAUGUUCUAAGGAAAUGAUACUUGACAUUAGAAAAGCUUUAGCAUACGAACUACGAUCUUUGUGCUAGGCUUAGGAUUGGGUCUUGUCCAUCACAUCAUUCUCCUAAUGAUGUGAUCCCGUUAUCAACGACAUCCAAUGUCCACGGUCAGGAAACCGUAACCAUCUAUUGAUCAACGAGCUAGUCAACUAGAGGCCUACUAGGGACAUGGUGUUGUCUAUGUACCCACACAUGUAUCUGAGUUUCCUUUCAAUACAAUUAUAGCAUGGAUAAUAAACGAUUAUCAUGAACAAGGAAAUAUAAUAAUAAUAACUAAUUUAUUAUUGCCUCUAGGGCAUAUUUCCAACAGAGGGAGCGUGCGAUGCUUGAUCACAUCAACCUUGGAAACACUUCCAACACAUAUCGUCGGCUCACCUUUAGCUAGUCUCCGUUUAUUCCGUAGCUUUUAUUUCGGGCUACUAACACUUAGUAACCGAACCGGUAUCUAAUACCCUGGUGCUACUAGGAGUACUAGUAAAGUACACAUUAACAUAAUGCAUAUCCAAUAUACUUCUAUCGACCUUGCCAGCCUUCUCAUCUACCAAGUAUCUAGGGUAAUUCUGCUCCAGUGGCUGUUCCCCUGUUUACAGAAGCACUUAGUCUCGGGUUUGGGUUCAACCUUGGGUUUCUUCACUAGAGCAGCAGCUGAUUUGCCGUUUCGUGAAGUAUCCCUUCUUGCCCUUGCCCUUCUUGAAACUAGUGGUUUCACCAACCAUCAACAAUUGAUUCUCCUUCUUGAUUUCUACUUUCGCGGUGUCAAACAUCGCGAAUAUCUCAAGGGUCAUCAUAUCUAUCCCUGAUCUGUUAUAGUUCAUCACGAAGCUCUAGUAGCUUGGUGGCAAUGACUUUGGAGAAACAUCACUAUCUCAUCUGGAAGAUCAACUCCCACUCGAUUGAACUGAAUGUUGUACUCAUCGGAUGUACUAUAACAGUUCGGAUGUACAACAAUCAGUUGAAUCGAGUGGGAGUUGACCUUCCAGAUGAGAUAGUGAUGUUUCUCCAAAGUCAUUGCCACCAAGCUACUAGAGCUUCGUGAUGAACUAUAACAGAUCAGGGAUAGAUAUGAUGAUCCUUGAGAUAUUCACGAUGUUUGACACCGCGAAAGUAGAAAUCAAGAAGGAGCAUCAAUUGUUGAUGGUUGGUGAAACCACUAGUUUCAAGAAGGGCAAGGGCAAGAAGGGAUACUUCACGAAACGGCAAAUCAGCUGCUGCUCUAGUGAAGAAACCCAGGUUGAACCCAAACCCGAGACUAAGUGCUUCUGUAAUAAGGGGAACAGCCACUGGAGCAGAAUUACCCUAGAUACUUGGUAGAUGAGAAGGCUGGCAAGGUCGAUAGAAGUAUAUUGGAUAUGCAUUAUGUUAAUGUGUACUUUACUAGUACUCCUAGUAGCACCAGGGUAUUAGAUACCGGUUCGGGUACUAAGUGUUAGUAGCCCGAAAUAAAAGCUACGGAAUAAACGGAGACUAGCUAAAUGUGAGCCGACAAUAUGUGUUGGAAGUGUUUCCAAGGUUGAUGUGAUCAAGCAUCGCACGCUCCCUCUGUUGGAAAUAUGCCCUAGAGGCAAUAAUAAAUUAGUUAUUAUUAUUAUAUUUCCUAGUUCACGAUAAUCGUUUAUUAUCCAUGCUAUAAUUGUAUUGAUAGGAAACUCAGAUACAUGUGUGGGUACAUAGACAACACCAUGUCCCUAGUAGGCCUCUAGUUGACUAGCUUGUUGAUCAAUAGAUGGUUACGGUUUCCUGACCAUGGACAUUGGGUGUCGUUGAUAACGGGAUCACAUCAUUAGGAGAAUGAUGUGAUGGACAAGACCCAAUCCUAAGCCUAGAACAAAGAUCGUGUAGUUCGAAUGCUAAAGCUUUUCUAAUGUCAAGUAUCGUUUCCUUGGACCAUGAGAUUGUGCAACUCCCGGAUAACGUAGGAAUGAUUUGGGUGUACCAAACGUCACAAUGUAACUGGGUGGCUAUAAAGGUGCACUACAGGUAUCUCCGAAAGUGUCUGUUGGGUUGGCACGAAUCGAGACUGGGAUUUGUCACUCCGUGUAAACGGAGAGGUAUCUCUGGGCCCACUCGGUAGGACAUCAUCAUAAUGUGCACAAUGUGACCAAGGAGUUGAUCACGGGAUGAUGUGUUACGGAACGAGUAAAGAGACUUGCCGGUAACGAGAUUGAACAAGGUAUCGGGAUACCGACGAUCGAAUCUCGGGCAAGUACAAUACCGCUAGACAAAGGGAAUUGUAUACGGGAUUGAUUGAGUCCUUGACAUCGUGGUUCAUCCGAUGAGAUCAUCAUGGAACAUGUGGGAGCCAACAUGGGUAUCCAGAUCCCGCUGUUGGUUAUUGGCCGGAGAACGUCUCGGUCAUGUCUGCAUGGUUCCCGAACCCGUAGGGUCUACACACUUAAGGUUCGAUGACGCUAGGGUUAUAAAGGAAGUUUGUAUGUGGUUACUGAAUGUUGUUCGGAGUCCCGAAUGAGAUCCCAGACGUCACGAGGACUUCCGGAAUGGUCCGGAGGUAAAGAUUUAUAUAUGGAAAGUUGUUGUUCGGGUUCCAGGAAAAGUUCUGUUUUUCCGCAAUUGUACCGGGAAGCUUCCGGAAGGUUCCGGAGGAUUCCGGAGGGGUCCGGAGGUCCGGAAAAUGUUCCACCACGUCCAAUACAGCAGCAUGGGCUGUAAGGGGGUGCCCUAGCUUUAAUGGGACAGGGGCACCAGCCCCCCCAAGGCCCAUGUGCAUGGGAGAGGGGAAACCCUAAGGGGGAGGGCCUCCACUUGACUUGGGAGGCACUCCUCCCCCCCUUGGCCGCCCCCUAGAUGGGAUCUAGGGCUGGCCGCCGCCCCUAGGGGUGGAACCCUAGGUGGGGGCGCAGCCACCCUCUCCCCCUAUAUAUAGUGGAGGCAAAGGGGCAGCCCAACACACAAAGUACUUCUCCUGUUGGCGCAGCCCUACCUCUCUUUCUCCUCAUAUCUCGCGGUGCUUGGCGAAGCCCUCCGGGAUUGCCACGCUCCUCCACCACCACCACGCCGUUGUGCUGCUGUUGGAUGGAGUCUUCCUCAACCUCUCCCUCUCUCCCUGCUGGAUCAAGGCAUGGGAGACGUCAUCGGGCUGUACGUGUGUUGAACGCGGAGGUGCCGUCCGUUCGGCACUAGGAUAUCCGGUGAUUUGGAUCACGACGAGUACGACUCCUUCAACCCCGUUCUCUUGAACGAUUCUGUUUAGCAAUCUACAAGGGUAUGUAGAUGCACUCUCCUUCCCCUCGUUGCUGGUUUCUCCAUAGAUAGAUCUUGGUGACACGUAGGAAAAUUUUGAAUUUCUGCUACGUUCCCCAACACCCUCUACAAUCGAGAUUGGUGUUAAACCUAAAUAAUUGUUAUUUGGUGUUUGCGUUGAGCAUAGACAUGAUUGGAUUAUGUCUAUCACAGUACGGUUACUCAUUUAAGGAGAAUAAUGGUUACUCUAUUUAUUUGAAUGAUACCUUUAAUGGUCUUGCACGUAAAAGAAUGGUUUAUUGAAUCUCGAUCGUAGUGAUACACAUUUUCAUGCCAAAAGAUAUAAGAUAGUAAUGAUAGUACCACUUACUUGUGGCACUGCCAUGUAAGUCAUAUUGGUAUAAAACGCAUGAAGAAGCUCCAUGUUGAUGGAUCUUUGGACUCACUCGUUUUGAAAUGUUUGAGACAUGCGAACCAUGUCUAUUGGUGUAUAUUCAUGAAGAAACUCCAUGCAAAUGGACCGUUUGGACUCACUUGAUUUUGAAUCACUUGAGACAUGCAAAUCGUACCACAUGGGCAAGAUGACUGAAAGCCUCGUUUUUAGUAAAAUGGAACAAUAAAGCAACUUGUUGGAAGUAAUACAUUUUGAUGUGUGCAGUCCAAUGAGUGCUAAGGCACGCAGUGGAUAUCGUUAUGUUCUUACUUCACGCAUGAUUUGAGUAGAUACUGAGUGUAUUUACUUGAUGAACACAAGUCUGAAUUAUUGAAUGGUUCAAGUAAUUUCAGAGUGAAGUUAAAAGAUCCUCGUGACAAGAGGAUAAAAUGUCUAUGAUAUGAUCAUAGAGAUGAGUAUCUGAGUUACGAGCUUUGGUACACUAUUAAGACAUUGUGGAAAUUGUUUCACAACUAAUAUCGCCUGGAACACCAUAGUGUGAUGGUGUGUCCGAACGUCAUAGAUGCACCCUAUUGGACAUGGUGCAUACCAUGAUGUCUCUUAUCAAAUUACCACUAUCGUUCAUGGGUUAGGCAUUAGAGACAACCACAUUCACUUUAAAUAGGGCACCACGUAAUUCGUUGAAAUGACACCGUAUGAACUAUGGUUUAGAGAAACCUAAGCUGUCGUUUCUUGGAAGUUUGGGGCUGCGAUGCUUACGUGAAAAAGGUUUCAGCCUGAUAAGCUCGAACCCAAAGCGGAUAAAUACAUCUUCAUAGGACACCCAAAAAUAGUUGGGUAUACCUCCUAUUUCAGAUCCGGAAGCGAAAGAUUGUUUCUAGAAACGGGUCCUUUCUCGAGGAAAAGUUUCUCUCGGAAGAAUUGAGUGGGAGGAUGGUGAAGACUUGAUAAGGUUAUUGAACCAUCACUUCAACUAGUGUGUAGCAGGGCACAUGAAGUUGUUCCUAUGGCACCUACACCAAUUGAAGUGGAAGUUGAUGAUAAUGAUCAUGAAACUUCGGAUCAAGUCACUACCAAACCUCGUAGGACGACAAGGACAGGUACUGCUUCAGAGUGGUACGUAAUCCUGUCUUGGAAGUCAUGUUGCUAGACAACAAUGAACCUACGAGCUAUGGAGAAGCGAUGGUGGGACCGGAUUCCGACGAAUGGCUCGAGGCCAUAAAAUCCGAGAGAGGAUCCAUGUACGAAAACAAAGUAUGGACUUUGGAAGAAAUACUUGAUGGUCGUAAGGCUGUUGGGUACAGAUGGAUUUUGAAAGGAAGACGGACAAUGAUGGUAAGUGUCACCAUUAAGAAAGCUCGACUUGUCCUUAAGAUAUUUUCCGACAAGUUCAAGGAGUUGACUACGAGGAGACUUUCUCACUCGUAGCGAUGCUAAGAGUCUGUUGAAAUUAUAUUAGUAGUUACUGCAUAAUUUAUGAAAUCUUGCAGAUAGGAUGUCAAAACAUUGUUCCUCGACGAGGAAAGGUUGUAUGUGAUACAACCAAAAGGUUUUGUCAAUCCUGAAAGAUGCUAACAAGUAUGCAAAGCUCCAGCAAUCCUUCUAAGGACUGGAGUAAGAAUCUCGGAGUUGGAAUAUACGCUUUUAUGAGAUGAUCAAAGAUUUUGGGUUUAUACAAAGUUUAUGAGAAACUUGUAUUUCCAAAGAAGUGAGUGGGAGCACUAUAGCAUUUCUGAUGAGUAUAUGUUGUUGACAUAUUGUUGAUCGGAAAUGAUGUAGAAUUUCUGGAAAGCAUAUAGGGUUAUUUGAAAGGUGUUUUUCAAUAGAAAACCUGGAUUAAGCUAUUUGAACAUUGAGCAUCAAGAUCUAUGAGGAUAUAUCAAAACGCUUAAUAGUACUUUCAAAUGAGCACAUACCUUGACAUGCUCUUGAAGGUGUUCAAGAUGGAUCAAUCAAAGAAGGAGUUCUUGCCUGAGUUGUAAGGUAUGAAGUUAAGACUUAAAGCUCGACCACGGCAGAAGAAAGAGAAAGGAUGAAUGUCGUCCCCUAUGCCUUAGCCAUAGGCUCUAUAGAGUAUGUCAUGCUUUGUACUGCACCUGAUGUGUGCCUUGCCACAUGUCUGGCAAGAGGGUACAAAGGUGACCCGGGAGUGGGUCACUAGAUAGCGGUCAAAAAUUAUCCUUAGAGGAAUAAGGAAAUGUUUCUCGGUUAUGGAGGUGAUAAAGAGUUUGACGUAAAGAGUUACGUCGAUGCAAGCUUAACACCUAUCCGGAUAGCUCUGAGUAGAGAUACCAGAUACGUAUAAUGGAGCAAUAAUUUGGAAUAGCUCCAAGUGGAACGUGGUAGCGGCAUCUACGAUAUGACAUAAAGUUUUGCGAAAUACAUAGGGAUCUGAAUAUUGCAGACCCGUUGACUACAACCUCUCUCACAAGCAUAACAUUAUCAAACCCAGAACUCAUUGAGUGUUAAUCACAUAGUGAUGUGAACUAGAUUAUUGAUUCUAGUAAACUCUUUGGAUGUUGGUCACGUGGCGAUGUGACCUGUGAGUGUUAAUCACAUGGCGAUCUAAACUAGAUUAUUGACUCUAGUGCAAGUGGGAGACUGUUGGAAAUAUGCCCUAGAGGCAAUAAUAAAUUAGUUAUUAUUAUUAUAUUUCCUUGUUCAUGAUAAUCAUUUAUUAUCCAUGCUAGAAUUGUAUUGAUUGGAAACUCAGAUACAUGUGUGGAUACAUAGACAACACCAUGUCCCUAGUAAGCCUCUAGUUGACUAGCUCGUUGAUCAAUAGAUGGUUACGGUUUCCUGACCAUGGACAUUGGAUGUUGUUGAUAACCGGAUCACAUCAUUAGGAGAAUGAUGUGAUGGACAAGACCCAAUCCUAAGCCUAGCAUAAAGAUCAUGUAGUUCGUAUGCUAAAGCUUUUCUAAUGUCAAGUAUCAUUUCCUUAGAACAUGAUAUUGUGCAACUCCCGGAUACCGUAGGAAUGCUUUGGGUGUACCAAAUGUCACAACGUAACUCGGUGGCUAUAAAGGUCCACUACGGGUAUCUCCGAAAGUGUCUGUUGGGUUGGCACGAAUUAAGACUAGGAUUUGUCACUCCGUGUGACGGAGAGGUAUCUCUGGGCCCACUCGGUAGGACAUCAUCAUAAUGUGCACAAUGUGACCAAGGAGGUGAUCACAGGAUGAUGUGUUACGGAAUGAGUAAAGAGACUUGCCGGUAACGAGAUUGAACAAGGUAUCGGCAUACCGACGAUCGAAUCUCGGGAAAGUACAAUACCGCUAGACAAAGGGAGUUGAAUACGGGAUUGAUCGAAUCCUCGACAUCGUGGUUCAUCCGAUGAGAUCAUCGUGGAACAUGUGGGAGCCAACAUGGAUAUCCAGAUCCUGCUGUUGGUUAUUGGCCAGAGAGUUGUCUCGGUCAUGUCUGCAUGGUUCCCGAACCCGUAGGGUCUACACACUUCAGGUUCGAUGACGCUAGGGUUAUAAAGGAAGUUUGUAUGUGGUUACCGAAUGUUGUUCGGAGUCCCGGAUGAGAUCUCGGAUGUCACGAGGAGUUCCGGAACGGUCCGGAGGUAAAGAUAUAUAUAUGGGAAGUCAUCAUACGGUCACCGGAAUAAUUUGGGGGUUACCGGUAUUGUACCGGGACCACCGAAGGGGUUCCGGGGGUUCACCGGGAGGGUCCACCUGCCCCGGAGGGCCCUAUGGGCUGUUUGUGGAGAGGGACCAGCCCCUUAGUAGGCUGGGCGCCUUCCCCCUUAGGGCCCAUGCGCCUAGGGUUUGGGGGGAAACCCUAAAGGGGGGCGCCCCCUUGCCUUGGGGGGCAAGGCAACCCCCCUGGCCGCCACCCCCUCCUCAGAUUGGAUCUAAGGGGGCCGCCCCCCCUCUCCCUUGCCCCUAUAUAUAUGUGGGGGGUGGGAGGGCAGCCGCACCCAAGUUCGGGCGCAGCCCUCCCCCUCUCCCAAGUCCUCCUCCUCUCCCGCGGUGCUUGGCGAAGCCCUGCGGGAUUGCCACGCUCCUCCACCACCACCACACCGUUGUGCUGCUACCGGACGGAGUCUUUCGCAACCUCUCCCUCUCUCCUUACUGGAUCAAGGCAUGGGAGACGUCACCGGGCUGUACGUGUGUUGAAUGCGGAGGUGCCGUCGGUUCGGCACUAGGAUCUCCGGUGAUUUGGAUCACGACGACUACGACUCCUUCAACCCCGUUCUCUUGAACGCUUCCGCUCAGCGAUCUACAAGGGUAUGUAGAUGCACUCUCCUUCCCCUGGUUGCUAGAUUACUCCAUAGAUUGAUCUUGGUGAUGCGUAGAAAAUUUUAAAUUUCUGCUACGAUCCCCUACACCCACUGCACCGACCCUGUGGCAAUUGGAAGGCUCGGGGAGCCGAUUGCCGGCGAGCGGAGCGGAAAAUUUGACGGACUUUCAGUAGGAAGGGAGGGGAGGUAACGGUGGAGCCAAGCAGGUAAAUACCUAACGAACUGAAGUCUGAAGCCAAUUUGCUUGGUCUGAAUUCUGAAGUCUGAAGUCUGAACAGUUGCUCAACAACACUGGUUACCAUAGCACAGCAAAGAGCACCUGUAAAAUCAAAGAGCCAAAAUUAAACCAUGGUUGAUGUGGAGAUUGGAUACAUGUGUAGAGAAGAUGCUAAUGGCACCCACUGCACCAACCCUGUGGCAAUUNNNNNNNNNNNNNNNNNNNNNNNNNNNNNNNNNNNNNNNNNNNNNNNNNNNNNNNNNNNNNNNNNNNNNNNNNNNNNNNNNNNNNNNNNNNNNNNNNNNNNNNNNNNNNNNNNNNNNNNNNNNNNNNNNNNNNNNNNNNNNNNNNNNNNNNNNNNNNNNNNNNNNNNNNNNNNNNNNNNNNNNNNNNNNNNNNNNNNNNNNNNNNNNNNNNNNNNNNNNNNNNNNNNNNNNNNNNNNNNNNNNNNNNNNNNNNNNNNNNNNNNNNNNNNNNNNNNNNNNNNNNNNNNNNNNNNNNNNNNNNNNNNNNNNNNNNNNNNNNNNNNNNNNNNNNNNNNNNNNNNNNNNNNNNNNNNNNNNNNNNNNNNNNNNNNNNNNNNNNNNNNNNNNNNNNNNNNNNNNNNNNNNNNNNNNNNNNNNNNNNNNNNNNNNNNNNNNNNNNNNNNNNNNNNNNNNNNNNNNNNNNNNNNNNNNNNNNNNNNNNNNNNNNNNNNNNNNNNNNNNNNNNNNNNNNNNNNNNNNNNNNNNNNNNNNNNNNNNNNNNNNNNNNNNNNNNNNNNNNNNNNNNNNNNNNNNNNNNNNNNNNNNNNNNNNNNNNNNNNNNNNNNNNNNNNNNNNNNNNNNNNNNNNNNNNNNNNNNNNNNNNNNNNNNNNNNNNNNNNNNNNNNNNNNNNNNNNNNNNNNNNNNNNNNNNNNNNNNNNNNNNNNNNNNNNNNNNNNNNNNNNNNNNNNNNNNNNNNNNNNNNNNNNNNNNNNNNNNNNNNNNNNNNNNNNNNNNNNNNNNNNNNNNNNNNNNNNNNNNNNNNNNNNNNNNNNNNNNNNNNNNNNNNNNNNNNNNNNNNNNNNNNNNNNNNNNNNNNNNNNNNNNNNNNNNNNNNNNNNNNNNNNNNNNNNNNNNNNNNNNNNNNNNNNNNNNNNNNNNNNNNNNNNNNNNNNNNNNNNNNNNNNNNNNNNNNNNNNNNNNNNNNNNNNNNNNNNNNNNNNNNNNNNNNNNNNNNNNNNNNNNNNNNNNNNNNNNNNNNNNNAUGGUUGAUGUGGGGAUUGGAUACAUGUGUAACAGAGAAGAUGCUAAUGGCAUCCACUGCACCGACCCUGUGACAAUUGGCAGGCUCAGGGAGCCGAUUGCCGGUGCGGAGCGGAAAAUUUGCCGGACUUUCAGUAGGAAGGGAGGGGAAGGUAACGGUGGAGCCAAGCAGGUAAAUACCUCACGAACUGAAGUCUGAAGCCAAUUUGCUUGGUCUGAACACUGAAGUCUGAAGUCUAAACAGUUGCUCAACUUCACUGUUUACCACAGCACAGCAAAGAGCACCUGUAAAAUCAAAAGAGCCAAAAUUAAACCACUGUUGACAGGGAUGUGAGGAUAGGAUACUUGUGGAAUAGAGAAGACGCUAAUGGUAUCCACUGCAUCGACCCUGUGGCAACCGGCAGGCCCGGAGAGCCGGCAAAAUUUGCCGGACUUCGAGUAGGAGGGGAGGGGAAGGUAACUGUUGAGCCAAGCAGGAAAUACCUCAAGAACUGUAAGAAUCCACGGCCAGUGGAUAUGUACGCGCGAGCAGUCCUGCCGACGGCGAUAACCGCGUGGCACUGACGGCACGGGUGACAAGACAAGGCGCGAAGCAGCCGGGAAACCCCAGGCGGCC